GGAUGGUCUAAGGCGACGACGGGUAGCCGGCCUGAGAGGGCGACCGGCCACACUGGGACUGAGACACGGCCCAGACUCCUACGGGAGGCAGCAGUGGGGAAUAUUGCACAAUGGGCGAAAGCCUGAUGCAGCGACGCCGCGUGAGGGAUGACGGCCUUCGGGUUGUAAACCUCUUUCAGCAGGGAAGAAGCGAAAGUGACGGUACCUGCAGAAGAAGCGCCGGCUAACUACGUGCCAGCAGCCGCGGUAAUACGUAGGGCGCAAGCGUUGUCCGGAAUUAUUGGGCGUAAAGAGCUCGUAGGCGGCUUGUCACGUCGGAUGUGAAAGCCCGAGGCUUAACCUCGGGUCUGCAUUCGAUACGGGCUAGCUAGAGUGUGGUAGGGGAGAUCGGAAUUCCUGGUGUAGCGGUGAAAUGCGCAGAUAUCAGGAGGAACACCGGUGGCGAAGGCGGAUCUCUGGGCCAUUACUGACGCUGAGGAGCGAAAGCGUGGGGAGCGAACAGGAUUAGAUACCCUGGUAGUCCACGCCGUAAACGUUGGGAACUAGGUGUUGGCGACAUUCCACGUCGUCGGUGCCGCAGCUAACGCAUUAAGUUCCCCGCGGGGGGAGAAAGAGCGGG
rnacentral:rRNA from 1 species